rnacentral:lncRNA from 1 species
UAAUAUAGCCUACUCAUACAUACCUAAAUGCAUAUCUAAAUAAGCAGGUCAUUUGUGACAUAAUAAUGCCUACUCACACUUAGAGGACUGAAUUUUCAAACUUCAAUUAGACUAAAUAUGCAAAUUACAAUGAAUUGAUUCCUUUUCUUUUACUCACCCAGUGGCAUUUUGCUCAUCAAUCAGCUUCAUGCUUUUAAACGCAAAUCUAUGUUUCAGAGAAUAAUGGUUACUCACUCAGAUGUUCAAAGAAUAUAGCAUGGAGGCAGUUUAAAGUGCACUUGGACUUUUAAAAAAGUUUCUCAUCCGACAAUAAGAUUCUAAGACUACAUCCAGAAGUGAUUGAUACCUCUUCCAAAUAAACAAUUGAAAUGUGACUUGUGUUCUG